UUUGUUGGAUCCACUAGAGAGACUUCAUAAGACAAAUCAUGGAACGGAGAAUUUUGAUUUGAAAUACAAAAUCAAUGUCGUUGAGGGGUCCUUGAAAAAUCAACAAAUACAAAUCAACAAAUACAGUGACAUUUGUACGCUGAGCAGGGAGGGCUGUUGUGCCUUUGGAAAACUGCACAAAUCGAGGAAUCAAUUGAGGCAAAAUGGUUCUAGGGCAGUGAGGUUGAGAACCAGGAAGGGAGGGAGGAGCAAUGGAAGGAGAGGAAAGAGAAAGAAAAGCUCACCGGUGAACUUGCAAGGGCCUGUAGCCAAAAAAAUGAGUCGAGUUGCAGGGAGGGCAUAAGAGGUUUACGAAGACUAAAAGAAAAAGAGACAUUCAGAAAUUGCUAAAGCAGGAUGAAGAGAAACCAUGCAAGAAACAUUGCUCGGAUUCGGAAGGGGCUGCUGGUUGUUUGGUUAGGAGAAACGAAGGUAAUCAUUGUGAUGAUUUUUUAUUGGAAUAUGAGACUGCACUGUUGUUGAAUUUGAUUCUGGGUUCGGAUAGCUCUUCAUCACUGUGAAGCUAUUAAGUUAGAACUAUCGAGGGAUGGGUUACCCUCUGACAGUUUGAACAGCUUGUUUUUUGACUCAGUCUCAUAAGCCAAACUUAAUUUUUCUAAUGGAGACUAAAACGGAGGCAAACAAAUUGGAAUGGUUAGGAAUUACAAUGGGUUUUCAAUUCUGGACGGGUGUUGAUAGUGUUAGACAACCGGGGAUGAUUCUAAGACACUGCGUGUUCUUAUACUGUUUUAUGGGCAUCCUAAUGUUAAUCGAAGGUCAGUUAUAUGGAAUCAAGUUUUGAGUUUUAUUGCAACCAGUGCUCAGCCAAUUGUUAUGAUUGGAGAUUUUAAUCAAGUUUUGUAUUCGUAUGAAAAACAUAGUAAGGUAGGUAGACCUAUUCAAGGGGCCAAGGUUCUCAUGAAUUUUAUAAAUGAUCAUGGAUGCAACAGUUUCGCCUUGUGGUUCUUCUUGCUCUACCUAUUCAGAGAUCUGAUCAUAGCCCAUUAAUUCUGGAUACAAACCCUGUACCUAGAUGAAGAAGGAGUUCUAAGCGGUUUGAGGCAGCAUGCUUGAUCGAUCAAGCUACAACGGAAAUUGUUAAGAAGGCGUGGGCUGUACCGGUUCAAGGUUCGUAUGCGUUUCAAACAAUACAACAUCAGAAGUUUGUGAUACAGCACUUGCGGAAUUGGAAUAAUUUACACCAAAGAAGUCUGGCUGCGCAGAUUACAAGGGUUAGAGCUCAAUUGACAGAGAUACAGAGUAGAGCAGAUCUAUUGUUAUUUCAUAUUGAAGAAAAGCUCUUAAGACAACAUUUAGAUGAGUUGUUACAGAAACAGGAAAUAUAUUGGACGCAAAGAGCUUGACAAAAAUGGCUUCAACUAGGGGAUAAAAACACUAAGUUUUUUAUAUGGCUGCAAUGAUUCGUGCCAACAAGAGAAGGAUUCUGUUUUUGAAGAGGGAGGAUGGGUCUAUUUGUACUUAUCAGAUGGAAAUUCAGGAAACAUUUUUGUAUCAUUUCAAAAGCUUGUUCCAGAAAUCGGAUGCAUUUCUUCUAGGUAUUAUACCCUCUUUCUCAUACCCUGCCCAUUUUCAAAUUUUCUCCGCCAUCCAUUGCAGUAUGUCAGAGGAGCAUAAAAGAGUUUUGAAUUCCCCUUUUUUGGCCCAAGAGGUGAAGGAGGCUGUUUUUUCUAUGGAAGGGCUAAGGCCCUGGGACUGGACGGUAUGAUUGCGGAAUUUUAUCAAAAUUUUUGGGAUAUGGUUGGGGAUUCGGUUGUUUAUGUUGCACUGUCCUUUCUAAAUACAGGAAUCGUGCUUAAGGAGAUGAAUCGUACUUUUGUAGCUUUAAUUCCAAAGAAGAAAGAUUCUCAGACUAUGAAUGAUUUUCAACCCAUUAGUCUUUGUAAUGUUAUUUAUAAAGUCAUUUCUAAAGUAUUAGCGAAUAGUGGAGGAAAAUUUUGGCUGACUUGAUUCACCCAUCACAAAAUGCUUUUGUUGCGGGUCGUCUCAUUACGGAUAAUGUUUUGAUGGCUCAUGAAUUAAUCGAAUUUGUUAGGAAAAAGAAAGGGGGGAAUAAGUCUUCCUUUGCUCUUAAAUUAGAUAUGAACAAGGCUUAUGAUCGGGUGAGUUGGGAUUUCCUUUGUAAAAUUUUGGAGGUUUUUGGGUUCAGUCCACAUUGGAUUCAGUUGAUUUACCAAUGUAUAUCAACAGUAUCUUUCUCGACUUUGGUGAAUUAUCAACAAUCUUAUUGGUUUCAGCCAACUUGUGGUAUGAGGCAAGGGGAUCUGUUGUCUCCAUAACUUUUUAUUCUGGUAACUCAAGUUUUAUCAUUGGGGUUAGAUUCUCUUGCGUCCCAGGGUGUUUGUAGAGGGAUUUCUAUCAGUCGUGAUACACCGGCUAUUUCUCAUUUUCUUUUCACGGAUGACUGUUUAUUUUUCAUGGAAUUUGAUUUGGAAUGUAUUUGGUGCCUCAAAUGGUUUUUGGAAGCCUUUUGGGAUCAAUCAGGUCUAGAGAUCAAUUAUCAUAAAUCUGAACUGAUUGUUAGUCCUAAUAUGGGAUUGGCUCAGCGAGGUUUUCUCGGUGAUUGUAUUGGGAUAAGAUUGGUGGAUAGACCUGGUAUGUACUUGGGUGCGGGGUCUUGUAAAACGGAUUUGUUUAGACAUUCUGAAUAGAUUUUCUGCAAAGCUAUCGGGUCGGAAACGUAGUCUUCUGUCUUUUGCUGGGAGAUGUGUUUUGGUUAGACAUUCUCUUCUUUCAAUCCCUUUGCAUGUGUUAUUUAUGUUUAAAUCCUCGAUGUACUUUAUUCGUAAAAUUUGCAGUAUUGUCGGAAACUUUUUGUGGAAACGCUCUGAGGGUAAGGGAAUUACUUGGAAAAAAUGGGAUACUCUUUGCUUACCAAAGGCAGCAAGUGGUCUUGGAUUUCGUGAUCCGGGUUUGUUGAAUCAAGCCUUGCUGGCUAAGGUAGCAUGAAGAAUUAUUCAGAAUCCCCAAUGUCUUGUAAGUAGAUUUUUCUGGGCAAAAUAUUGUUUGAAAGAUGUGUUUAUGGAGGCUAAACCAAAAUCAGGGUGCUCAUGGGCAUGGAGGAGCAUUCUUUGGGGAAGUGAUCUUCUUAAAAAAGGUUUGGGGUGGGUUGUCGGAAAUGGUGAAAGUAUUGAUGCUUUUGAUGAUCAAUGGAUUCCUACUUUAACUAAUGAUGAGAUGAUAGGAAGAGGGAUGGGUAGAUUGUUCAGAUCCUUUAAAGUCGCUCACCUUAUUAAUCAAAUCGAUAUGUCGUUGUGAAAACCUUUGAUUCAAACUCUUUUUCCUGAAAAUAUGGUAAAUCACAUUUUGAAUAUAAAUCUCCCCAAGUUAAUGAACAUGACCAGUUAGUGUGGAGGCCAACUAAGGAUGGUCAAUAUUCCGUUAAAUCUGUCUUUUUUCUUGCUAUGAAAGAGGGACUGACGGUACAUCAUUCGGGUAAUUGGGUCUUUAGUGGGUGUUGGAAGAAGUUGUGGCAGUUAAGGAUGCCUCCAAAAUGAGCGUUUUUUAUGUGGAAGAUUCUACAUAGAAUUUUACCUGUUGAAAUUUUUUUGAUGUGUUGUGGUGUCUUAUCCUGUGUGUUCAAGGUGUGGAGUGGAAGACAAAGCAUUAGAACAUCUUUGUUUUCAAUGUAUUUUCUCUAAACACAUUUGGAGAGUUCUUGUCUUGGGUUUAAUUUUAAAAAUGGUGAGGAAUGUUCGGUUCAUGAUUGGCUGGGACAGUGGUUCCAAAAUGCACCUGAUGAUGAUGCAUUGAUUGAAUCUGUUAAGGUGUUGUGGGGAAUUUGGCAUCAUAUCUCCCCACCUGAUUAUCAUCAUCCACUGUCUCGACUACUUCCCCUUUUCUAAUGCACUACAACCUCUUCUCUGUAUACUACGACCCUUUCACAUCACCCCACUCCAUUUCUCACCUUCCGCAACCACCUUAAACUCAUUAAAACUCUAGUCCUACCCACACUUGAAACCCUCUCUCUUUCUUGUGCUCCCUAGCUGGUGGGAGCAAGGGACACAAUUUGGUUCACCACUACUAAUACAAUUUGGGAAAAGGCAUUGCGAUGGUGAAAGUAGUUGGUUAGAGUUAGUAGAGUAGGUGAUGUUAGGGCAGGAUGAUGGGGAAGACUAGAAGAGAUGGUGGUGGUUGUAGUUGAAAGUCGAAAAUCAAAAGUAAAGGAAGUAAUAAUUUGGAGUGGAUGUAAGGUUAGGAUUUGAAAAGUCAAAAGUCAAAGGGUGUAGAAGAUAUGAAAGGUUGGAAAAUCUUUAGUGACGUUUAAUUUGUGUAUUAAAUAUAUAACAAAAAAUAAGUUGCCUUUGUGAUAAUGGAAUUUUCUUGCAGUGAUCAUUCAGGGCAGAGUACUCGAGGAAUGGGCCCAGUUUGAAAUUGGUGACAAUCAGAAAGCCUUCAUGAACGAGGUUCAAUAUUGAUGAAGGGGCUGGUCUCUGAUUGGGCUCUAUCAGCCAGGUUUCUCUUUGCAAAGGUAUGAAGCUGGUCUAUCAGGAUCUAUGAGCAAGAGGACAAUUUUCAAAUGCAAUGUUCAGUGGGAGCCCACUGUGAUCAGAUAAAGGUCCUUAUUUGUUGAGAGGAGGAAGGGUAAGUGGGGCAGCAUGAUUUGAGGCAGUGACUGUUUUUUGCAAACCCAGAGCAUGUUAGAAGGUAGACAGUGGCUUGCAGCAAGAGGCAGUGGUGAUGGAAAAUGUUGACAAGGGGAGAGCUCUGUGAUGGACGAAUGCUUGCAAAUAACGGGUGAGUUGCUGAGAUGACAGAGAUACUUUAUUAAAAAAAGAGAGUUGGUGAGAGAUAAGCAUGUGAUCGGAGCAACUGGUGUUGUAUUACCAAACAGUGGUAGCAAAGUGUAUUGAUUGUGAUUUUUGUUUUUGGUCACCUCUGGUUCCUUUGUUUUCUUUUGUUUUUACUUUGAAGGACAUAAUACGUAUGGAGAGAAUCAAAGUCCUUAGUUGCUUGUUGAGAGUGUCUCAGCUUGUCAACAUAUUGCCUUAAAAUUUGAAUCCUUGGUUCCUUACCAUGUGCUCAUAUUGGUUGAUUCCCACUUUUAUUUAUCUAAAAUGCCAGGAUUUUUAUUUUGUCAUUAGCUGCAGUCUUUGAAGUUGGCCAUUCUUUAAUUUUGAGUUGAUUAUUCUUUAUUAGCUUUAAAGAGAGGCUACCAAAAGAGACAUGUUCAAGAAUUGCACAGCAAGGAGGUGAAAUCGUCAUCUGAUUCAUAUUUGAAAGGUCUCACGAUAUUAAAGGUUUUUACAUAUUUUUUGCUGUUUUGGUGGUUUUGGGGAGUCCCCGUGGCUUUCAUGUAUAAGAAACUUGUGGAGCCCUUUGGUUGAGAUUAUACCUUGGUUGAAUUAGCUAACAGGGUCAGCAAAAUUAUUGGUCAAAAAGUCUUCCAUUAGAAGGAUUUGCUACUUGAAGACACCCAAGUUGGAGAAAAAAAAAUUUGUCUUUUUUUUUUUCUUUUCUUCAUGUAUUUACCAAAAAGGAUUCCAUGUGUAAGUGUUGGAGAGAAAUUAAACUAUUUGUCUAGAAUUGUUCAAAACAAAAAUUAUAGU